CCUACGGGAGGCAGCAGUGAGGAAUAUUGGUCAAUGGACGAGAGUCUGAACCAGCCAAGUAGCGUGAAGGAUGACUGCCCUAUGGGUUGUAAACUUCUUUUAUAAAGGAAUAAAACGAGGCACGUGUGCCUUUUUGCAUGUACUUUAUGAAUAAGGAUCGGCUAACUCCGUGCCAGCAGCCGCGGUAAUACGGAGGAUCCGAGCGUUAUCCGGAUUUAUUGGGUUUAAAGGGAGCGUAGAUGGGUGGUCAAGUCAGUUGUGAAAGUUCGCGGCUCAACCCUAAACUUGCCAUUGAUACUGGCAGUCUUGAGUACGGGUGAGGUAGGCGGAAUUCGUGGUGUAGCGGUGAAAUGCUUAGAUAUCACGAAGAACCCCGAUUGCGAAGGCAGCUUACUAGACUGUGACUGACAUUGAUGCACGAAAGUGUGGGUAUCGAACAGGAUUAGAUACCCCAGUAGUC
rnacentral:rRNA from 1 species